rnacentral:rRNA from 2 species
UUGCAUCAUGAUUUACAUUUGAGUGAGUGGCGAACUGGUGAGUAACACGUGGGAAACCUGCCCAGAAGCGGGGGAUAACACCUGGAAACAGAUGCUAAUACCGCAUAACAACUUGGACCGCAUGGUCCGAGUUUGAAAGAUGGCUUCGGCUAUCACUUUUGGAUGGUCCCGCGGCGUAUUAGCUAGAUGGUGAGGUAACGGCUCACCAUGGCAAUGAUACGUAGCCGACCUGAGAGGGUAAUCGGCCACAUUGGGACUGAGACACGGCCCAAACUCCUACGGGAGGCAGCAGUAGGGAAUCUUCCACAAUGGACGAAAGUCUGAUGGAGCAACGCCGCGUGAGUGAAGAAGGGUUUCGGCUCGUAAAACUCUGUUGUUAAAGAAGAACAUAUCUGAGAGUAACUGUUCAGGUAUUGACGGUAUUUAACCAGAAAGCCACGGCUAACUACGUGCCAGCAGCCGCG